rnacentral:rRNA from 1 species
UACGUGAGGGGCGAACGUUGUUCGGUGUCACUGGGCUUACAGGGUGCGUAGGCGGCUCAACAAGUCAGGUGUGAAAGCCCCCGGCUCAACCGGGGAACUGCGCUUGAAACUGUUAGGCUCGAGUCAGCUAGAGGUACACGGAACUUCCAGUGGAGCGGUGAAAUGUGUUGGUAUUGGAAGGAACACCGGAGGCGAAAGCGGUGUACUGGGGCUGGUCUGACGCUGAGGCACGAAAGCCAGGGGAGCGAACGGG